GAUGAACGCUGGCGGCGUGCUUAAUACAUGCCAGUCGAGCGAACAGACGAGGAGCUUUCUCCUCUGACGUUAGCGGCGGACGGGUGAGUAACACGUGGAUAACCCACCUAUAAGACUUGGAUAACUUCGGGAAACCGGAGCUAAUACCGGAUAAUAUCUUGAUCCGCAUGGUUCAAUAGUGAAAGACGGUUUUGCCGUCUCUUAUAGAUGGAUGGGCGCCGCAUUAGAUCCUUGGUUAGGUAACGUGUUAUCAAGGCAAGGCUGCGUAGCGGACCUGAGCGGGGGAUCGGCCAGAUUGGAAUGGAACCGCGGUCCGGACUCCUACGGUACGGGGCGGUGGGGAAGCUUACGCAAUGGGAGAAAGCUUAGCGGAACGACGCCGCGCGAGUGGUGAGGGUCUGCGGAUCGUAAAACACUGUUAUUAGGGAAGAAAAGAUGUGUAAGUAACUAUGCACGUCUUGACGGUACCUAAUCAGAAAGCCACGGCUAACUACGUG
rnacentral:rRNA from 1 species